rnacentral:rRNA from 1 species
UACGGAGGGUGCAAGCGUUAUCCGGAUUUACUGGGCUUAAAGGGCGCGUAGGUGGGUUGGUAAGUCAGUGGUGAAAUCUCCAGGCUUAGCUUGGAAACUGCCAUUGAUACUAUCAAUCUUGAAUACCGUGGAGGUCAGCGGAAUAUGUCAUGUAGCGGUGAAAUGCUUAGAUAUGACAUAGAACACCAAUGGCGAAGGCAGCUGGCUACACGAAUAUUGACACUGAUGCACGAAAGCGUGGGGAUCAAACAGG